rnacentral:tRNA from 1 species
GCCGGGGUGGCGUAGUUGGUAGCGCGUCGGACUCAUAGGGCAGCCUUCAAGGCGAUCGUAUGACGUGCAAACCCCCUUGUGGUGUCUGAGACAUCCGAAGGUCGCGGGUUCGAGCCCCGCUCCCGGCA